CGGUAUGGGAUGGGGAUGCGUUCCAUUAGUUAGUUGGCGGGGUAACGGCCCACCAAGACAACGAUGGAUAGGGGUUCUGAGAGGAAGGUCCCCCACAUUGGAACUGAGACACGGUCCAAACUCCUACGGGAGGCAGCAGUGAGGAAUAUUGGUCAAUGGACGAGAGUCUGAACCAGCCAAGUAGCGUGAAGGAUGACUGCCCUAUGGGUUGUAAACUUCUUUUAUAUGGGAAUAAAAUGUUCCACGUGUGGGAUUUUGUAUGUACCAUAUGAAUAAGGAUCGGCUAACUCCGUGCCAGCAGCCGCGGUAAUACGGAGGAUCCGAGCGUUAUCCGGAUUUAUUGGGUUUAAAGGGAGCGUAGGUGGAUUGUUAAGUCAGUUGUGAAAGUUUGCGGCUCAACCGUAAAAUUGCAGUUGAAACUGGCAGUCUUGAGUACAGUAGAGGUGGGCGGAAUUCGUGGUGUAGCGGUGAAAUGCUUAGAUAUCACGAAGAACUCCGAUUGCGAAGGCAGCUCACUGGACUGCAACUGACACUGAGGCUCGAAAGUGUGGGUAUCAAACAGGAUUAGAUACCCUGGUAGUCCACACAGUAAACGAUGAAUACUCGCUGUUUGCGAUAUACAGUAA
rnacentral:rRNA from 1 species